UCCAUUAAUCUCUCAUCCCCACGCUGAACUUGCCAAAUUUUCUGUAGCUUUCCUUCUCUAGCACGGCAACAUUAGAUCUCCAUCUAAUCUCCAUCUAUUAUGCUAUAGCUUUCCUUCCCUAGCACGAUAAUGGCUAAUCUCCAUGUAAUUCCCCAUCUUCUACACUUUUCCGUCCAGAAUAUUCAAUCUUCCUCACCCUCGCGGCUUGGGUUCCAUCCAUGAAACCUUUGCAGGAAGGAGGAGAAGAUCGCAGAGGACGGCCCUAAUCCAGUCCACCAACACAUCUAAUUUUGUGGAUGCCAUGGAUGCAAGGACAUGCAAAUUUCUGUAGCCUUCCUUCUCUAGCACGAAUCCUCAAUCUUAUUCUCCCUCACGAGUUGAGUUCAAUUCGAGAAACCUGUGCUGGAAGAAGGCCUAGAUUGCAGACAACAGCCCUGAUCAAGUCCACCAGCACAUCUACUUUGGUGGAUCUUCUCAAAAAAAAAUCUACUUUGGUGGAAGCGAUGGAUGCAAGGACAUGCAUGUACGGAUGAUACAUGACCAGCAAGGGUGUUCAUGGGGUGGCGCAUACUUUACCCGUAGUGAUACAUGCUGCUUUUCCAUGAUGCAGAAAAUUGUCGAUGUAUUAUGUUACAGCAAACCCAUUGUUUUGUUAACGAGGGGAUCACCUAUUUUUAAACAUGUGUACAUAAUUUCUCUAUUUAUAUUUCUUUAAUUUA